UACAGAGGUCUCAAGCGUUGUUCGGAUUUACUGGGCGUAAAGGGCGCGUAGGCGGCAAUUCAAGUCAGCUGUGAAAUCUCCGAGCUUAACUCGGAACGGUCAGCUGAUACUGUUUUGCUAGAGUACAGAAGGGGCAAUCGGAAUUCUUGGUGUAGCGGUGAAAUGCGUAGAUAUCAAGAGGAACACCUGAGGUGAAGACGGGUUGCUGGGCUGAUACUGACGCUGAGGCGCGAAAGCUAGGGUAGCAAACGGG
rnacentral:rRNA from 1 species